AAACCCUGUUGGCUUCCUGGUUGUUUGUGACUCAAUUAAAUUAACAAAUUGGUCUCUUUGCCCAGAGUCUUUCCACCGCCUGUAUUUCAGCAUAUGUCAGUCAGGGCGGCCCAGCAUCUCCAGAUGGCUUCGAGCUCCCUCUACAUAUCCGAUGCCAGCUCAUCACUGGAGAAGUGUGUGUGUGUGGGGAGAGUCCCAGAGACAGAGACAUAAAGCCACAGUGGGGAGAGACGGAAAUGAGGUAGGCAAGACAGAAAGAAUGAGAGGGAGGAAGAGGGAAGGGACAGAAGGCAGGAGAGCCUAGAUUCUUCCUCCUAGUCUAAAAGGACCCUCACCUUCGGGGCUGGGCCUGUGGCCAAGUGGUUAAGGUUCCACACUUUCUGCUUGGGAGGCCUGGGUUCACAGGUUCAGAUCCCAGAUGCGGCCCUACUCCACUCAUCAGCCAUGCUGUGGAGGCAUCCCACAUACAAAGUAGAGGAAGAUGGGCACAGAUGUUAGUUCAGGGCUAAUAUUCCUCAAAUGAAAAGAUAAAAAAAAUAAAAGGACCCUAACCUUCCUGCAGGGAGGGUCUCUCCUCCACGAGGUUGGUGGGGGGUGUCUGAAGAAGACUCUCUCAGCCUCGAGUUCUCUGGCAGACAGUGAAAUUGGUGGUUCUCAAAGUGUGUUCCCUGGACCAGCAGCUCAGCAUGACUUGGGAGCUUGUCAGAAGUGCAAAUUCUCCUGCCUCACCCCAGACCUCCUGAAUCAAAGACUGCGGGGUAGGGCCCAGCAUCUGUGUUUUAACAAGCCCUCCAGGUGUUUCUGCUGCACGCUCGAGUUUGAGAACCACACCCUGAAGUUGCAGUGCUUGGCCUCCAGUGCUGUGAACUGCUCUCAGUCCCCGCCACGGGGCUGCUGUCUUCCAAGAGGAGUGACGUGGGUGGUCUUGAGAGCUGGCACCAUCUUCAGAGUCACUCAAAUGAUACCUCUGUAGCCUUCAAUUACCUGUAGGAAUUGGGGGAACAGGAGGAAGUGUCAAGGAACAGCCCAGAGGAAGAAAAAAGACAACCUGGAGAAAAGGAUGCUUAGAAGGGCAAGGCUGCAGCUGGUGCGUGCAGCUCUUAAGUAGCAGGCUCUCAGCUCCUGCCAUGCAGGACGAUGAUGGAAAGGGGGCACUAAUGGGAAAGCAGUCUGACCCCAGCUUCAGGUGAAUUUGAUGGAGGGUCAAUUUGGGGAUAAUUGUGGUGCGCUGUCUGGAUUCUGCUGGGAGAGGGCAGAUGGGGACAGGAGCAGGGAUGGGUAGAGGGUAGAAGGGAGAGGAGUGGGGGGCAGGGAGGGAGAGAGAUGCUGGGGAACAGGGGGCCCAGGCAGAGGCCCCUGCUCCAGGCCUGGAGUUUCCAGAAGACCAUCAUCAUUGUCCAGCCAUCCACAUUGUUCUUCUGGCUUCUGAGGCUGGAGACCAGGGGUGAGGAGCUUGGUGUGGCCCUCAAGGAGAGGCCUGUUCUCAUUUCAGCGGGUGUGGGUAUUAAGUUUGGUCCAUGUGCUGGCAGUGGGCAGGAUGGUCAGUGACCUCAAACUCAAAGUCUUCAGGCUCCGGGCAGAUAACAUAAGAGAGAAGCACAGCCUGGGAGGAAAUGCCAGGGCAGACACUGUCUCCUGGGGAUUGUGUGAACUGGAAAUACAGGCCCUGUCUAGACCGUUCAGCAGCCACCAGACUCCAGCCUGUUAGCACCCAGAAACGUCACUCCCCGCCACCAGGCUGAUCAAAUCCAGAUGGAGGUAUACAGCAGCAGGUCCUGCAAGAGAAGUUACAAGAAGCUCACAUACUGCCUGCGUGCCAGGGGCAGCUCUGUCUGGGCUGGCCGUGGGGAACGGGGCUUCGAAGGGUCCCAGACUCCAUUCUGCAGCGAUGCGGGGCAGCAAAGCAUUUUACAGUGAGGACCACCAUUGUCUGAUCCCUCUAAGAAUGGGUCUUGAAUUUCUGAUGCCAGUUUCUCCCUCAAGGGCCAGGGUAAUGCUGGGCAUCCUGCGUGCAUUCUUUCCAUAAGCCCCCUGCCUUCAGGAAUAUAAAAUGUUUAUCUUUUCUGCUUGACACAGCACAGCUGAGAACCAAAAAGUGAAAUAACCUGUGCUGAGUCAUCAGCCGGGAGGCGGGGGAUUGGAGGCAGGAAAAAUAAAUGUAGCAUCUCCCCCUGGGGGCUCCCGUCAAAGACUGUCGAAGGGAGGGUCCGACAGGUAGGGAGGAGAGGGGGGAGCUUGAGGAGCAGGACUCCCCGUGGUCUGUACUGGUCCAGGAACCCCUUUGGCUGUGGCCUUGAGCAGCAGCUGCAGCUCCUCUCACCUUUCCCUCCUCCAGAUGUCCUCAAACAUCCUAAUAUUUAUUUCUACUUGGGAACAGCAGCAAAUCAACAAAGGCAUGUCAAGGACGCCCUCACCUUCCUCUAUGAGGCUCCGAGCCCUAUUUCUGAUUUUCUAAUUGGUAUGUCUGGGCAUCAGGGGGAGUUCAUUGUGGUUGGAAAACCAGAGGUCUCAGGAUACCUGCAAACUAUUAAAAGUGGUUUCUCUUUUUAAACAUUUUGUAUUAAAGAGCAUGGUUACGUUUUUACUUCCUAUCCUUCUGUACGAUUUGAGGGUUUUUUAAACGAAAACAAAGAGCAGGUACGUUAUUUUAAUAUUUUAAAAACAAGAAAAAAUAAAAGAAGUCUUAAAGCGAAAUUAUUAUUUGUACUGAACUGCUCACUCUUGUUUAUAUCCGUUUUGUUUUCGUUGGUGGCGCUAAACUCCGAAUGCAUCAGGAGCGAGUGAAUUCAACUCUGGGGCUGCUUUGAACUCUCGUCUCUGCCAAUUAACCCUCCCGGGGAAGGCUGAAGCGCCUCUUAGAAGUGGCAGAAUGCGAGAGAAGCAAUCACCUAGCUGUGUGAACUUGGGAAGGAAUCUGGAGAUGUGACUGCUUCACGAACAGACCUUCAACCAAUUCUCCUAAUUUUUGCACCCUUCCCCGUCACCUCCACUUCCAGAAGUAACUGGUGCUGGCAGUUUUCGAGACUUCUGGGGAUUCUGGCUCACAAAUCGGGGUGGUUUUCCACAUUCUGCACUGUUGGCUUAGGAUUUAAUUUUUUCUCCAUUUUCUUGGGUCUGCUAAGUAAAUUAUCCCUUAUCUAGCUGCUUUUCACAUUUCAAAUUUUGCUGCUGUUUUCUACCCUCCCAUUUUCCCCAUUCAUGUGAGUCUGUGCCUUAAAAAAAGUCUCUUUACUAGCAUUUUAAUGGGAUUUCCAUAGAGAAUGAAAUCAAGGGUUUGCAUCUUUACACAAAACUCCCUGCUGUUCAAAUUCCCCUUCUUUUUCCCAUCCAUUUAUUCUUCCACCUAGAAAUCACGGCAGUGAAAACAAAGAAAUGCAUAACCUUAGUCGUAAGCUGUAAAGCAUUACAUUUAGUGGGAGAAUCAAAAAAGGGGCGAGGAGGUGUGAGGAAGGACGUGAAUUAUGUGUAUGUAUUAGGAAAGUGUAUCGAGCAUGAACACAGCUUAAUCUCGAUACUUUUGGAAUACACAUUUUAGGAAACAGGGCUGAACAAUGUCUUGGUUUAUGAGAUUACACUGAAAAUACAGCAAUUCAUCCUCGAGGUAUACACUAGGACUUUCUUUCAGAAUUUCCAGAGAAAGAUGAGAUUUUAAUUUUGAUCCCAAGGGGGCACGAGUUUUAAAAAAGAGGCGGGGGCAGGAUUGGCCUAAGCUCCAUGCGAAGGAAGAUGCCCUCAAUGACACGCUGAACUCUGGCUCUCCAGGCUGGAGACCUUUUAGGAUAGGUCACCAGGCAAGAAGUGCUGAUGAGCUCACUCCACUCAGCGCAGGCCUCAGCCAGGUGUCUUGCAGGUAUGCUUGUCUUUCUUUGCAGGCCUUCCCUAAAUUUGUCAUUAAUAAUAGACUCCUUCCUUUUUUAUAAUGUCGAUUAAAAUCAUGUCCUCUAAAACAAUGGUUCUUAACUCUGUGCAGCAGAAUUACUGGUGGAUCUUUCAAAAAGACUCAUAUGAGCCCUACUUUCUAUGGGCUUGGGAACCACUGCUGGAAAGCAGCUUCAUGGAGGUGGUUCAGAGGAUCUGGGAACUUCUGGAAAUUAUAGGCAACGUUGAAUCUGCCCUUUUUUUUUUUUAAAGGACCAUAGCUUUCAUCAU
ensembl:lncRNA